UACAGAGGGUGCAAGCGUUGUUCGGAAUUAUUGGGCGUAAAGCGCGUGUAGGCGGCUUUGCAAGUCGGGUGUGAAAGCCCUCAGCUCAACUGAGGAAGUGCGCCCGAAACUGCAGAGCUUGAGUACCGGAGAGGAUGGCGGAAUUCCCCAAGUAGAGGUGAAAUUCGUAGAUAUGGGGAGGAACACCGGUGGCGAAGGCGGCCAUCUGGACGGUCACUGACGCUGAGACGCGAAAGCGUGGGGAGCGAACAGG
rnacentral:rRNA from 1 species